GCAUUAAUGGGGUAGUGGUAACCUGGGUCGUUGCCAUCGUGUAUUUGCAGCCGCAAAACUCGACCCGCCGGGGGUUCGAUUCCCCCUUAAUGCA